AGGGCUGAUGAAUGGAAUGUCAACAAAUGGGCAUGGGAAGGGGCAUUAAAAGUAAUCAACAGAGGGGAGGAGUGCAUUAUCAAGCUUGAAGAUAAGACAACAGGAGAGCUUUAUGCUCGAGCAUUUCUAAGAAACGGGGAGCCACAUUUGGUGGAGCCUGUGAUUGACAGCAGCAGGAAAAAAAGGCGGCGUGGACAGAGGACUAGACCAUAUCUUAAAGGAAGUGCUCGUGCCCAAUUAGCAUUUUUUGCAAGCUGAAUACCCUAUGUGUGCAUCUGUAGCAUGUAGCAUUCUUUCUCUCCCUUUAAAAUUUUUUUUAAUAGGUUGCACAGUUUGAUUUUCUUCUGCACAGUUGCAGUCAAACACCUAUAGUCAAUAUAGCAGUAAUUCCCUCUUAACUAAUAAAGAUUACAUGCAUAGCCAUGAAAUCCUACCUGAUCACCUAAGAAGAAGAUGCCCAUGAAUUUUUGAGGUAUGUUAUUGAUACAAUGCAAUCUAUAUGCCUUAAGGAAGCUGGUGCAAAUGUAACGGACCCUUUGGCAGGGGAAACUACUCUUAUACAACUGAUUUUUGAGGGUUACCUUCGAUCUAAGAUAAGGUGCAUGAAAUGCCAAGGCAAGUCUGAGAAGCAUGAAUGGAUGAUGGAUCUAACUAUUGAGAUACAUGGGGAUAUUGGAACUCUUGAAGAAGCACUUGCACAAUUAACGGCUACUAAAAUCUUGGAUGGAGACAAUAAAACCACUGUAGCAGGUUGGUUGGUGCUUGUCUGUUUUGACUUGAAGAUGU